rnacentral:rRNA from 1 species
UACGGAGGGUGCAAGCGUUAUUCGGAAUUACUGGGCGUAAAGCGCGUGUAGGCGGGGACGCAAGUCUGAUGUGAAAGCCCUGGGCUUAACCUGGGAAGUGCAUUGGAAACUGCGUUUCUUGAGUACUGGAGAGGAAGGGGGAAUUCCCGGUGUAGAGGUGAAAUUCGUAGAGAUCGGGAGGAAUACCAGUGGCGUAGGCGCCCUUCUGGACGGUUACUGACGCUGAGACGCGAAAGCGUGGGGAGCAAACAGG